UACGGAGGGUGCAAGCGUUGUUCGGAAUUACUGGGCGUAAAGCGCGCGUAGGCGGCCCUGCAAGUCGGGGGUGAAAGCCCGAGGCUCAACCUCGGAACUGCCUUCGAUACUGCGGGUCUCGAGUCCGGGAGAGGUGAGUGGAAUUCCUGGUGUAGAGGUGAAAUUCGUAGAUAUUGGGAGGAACACCAGUGGCGAAGGCGGCUCACUGGCCCGGUACUGACGCUGAGGCGCGAAAGCGUGGGGAGCAAACAGG
rnacentral:rRNA from 1 species